rnacentral:rRNA from 1 species
GUGGCGAACGGGUGAGUACACGUAAGAAUCACCCUUUGGUCUGGGACUACGUCGCGAGAGUGGUGCUAAUACCGGAUAAUAUCCACGGAUCAGAGAGGGCUUUGCCCUCACCAGAGGAGGAGCUUGCGCCCCAUUAGCUAGUUGGUGAGGUAAUGGCUCACCAAGGCUCCGAUGGGUAGCCGGCCUGAGAGGGUGUACGGCCACACUGGAACUGAGACACGGUCCAGACUCCUACGGGAGGCAGCAGUGGGGAAUAUUGGUCAAUGGGCGAAAGCCUGAACCAGCAAUGCCGUGUGGGUGAUGAAGCUUCUAGGAGUGUAAAACCCUUUUAUGAGGGAAGAACGAAAUGCGGUUAAUAUCUGUAUUUCUUGACGGUACCUCAUGAAUAAGCCCCGGCUAACUCCGUGCCAGCAGCCGCGGUAACACGGAGGGGGCAAGCGUUGUUCGGAAUUACUGGGCGUAAAGGGCGUGUAGGCGGCCUAGCAGGUCAGAUGUGAAAUCCCCGGGCUCAACUCGGGAACUGCGUAUGAAACCGUUAGGCUUGAGGCUAGGAGAGGAAAGCGGAAUUCCUGGUGUAGCGGUGAAAUGCGUAGAUAUCAGGAGGAACACCGGUGGCGAAAGCGGC